rnacentral:rRNA from 1 species
UACGUAGGGGGCAAGCGUUGUCCGGAAUCAUUGGGCGUAAAGCGCGUGUAGGCGGUCCGGUAAGUCCGCUGUGAAAGUCCAGGGCUCAACCCUGGGAUGCCGGUGGAUACUGUCGGGCUAGAGUACGGAAGAGGCGAGUGGAAUUCCCGGUGUAGCGGUGAAAUGCGCAGAUAUCGGGAGGAACACCAAUUGCGAAGGCAGCUCGCUGGGACGUUACUGACGCUGAGACGCGAAAGCGUCGGGGAGCAAACAGG